rnacentral:tRNA from 1 species
CUCGACAUAGCUCAGUGGUAGAGCGUGCGACUGUAGAACAAGCUGAUAUCGCGCGGUCGGUGGUCGAACCCGCCUGUCGAGA